GUAGCCUCGAUCCCAGGCCGAGUUUUCGCUUUUAUAACGGUUAGGCGAACAACUGGGCCUGGUACUAGUUGUCUGCGCAUGCGUCAGUCGUUCGUCAGAUUCUGACGAAUGGAUAUUCUCGUUCACUUUGGUGACAUUUAUAUUCGUGUACUAUCGUGUACUAGAAGUCAGUUCCCGUUUUAUCAUUAUUGGAAUCGAUUGGAAUGGCUCUUAGCUGAAGCUUCUCUCUUCUCUGAAGCUUAUUCUGAAGACUGAACAACAAGGGAAGAGGUAUAAAGCUUUGUCAAGCUUGUUAAGGUCAGAUAUUUUUGUGUGGGCCCUAUGGCCGGCUAGGCUAUGCUAUCAAGUCUUGUUCAUGUUUGGCAAGAAUGUAGGUAGACUAUAGUUUCAUCAUUAAUAUGGUGGAUCAAGUGAAGAGUGUGAGCUAGAGAACUUGGUGCUGCCAUCAUCAGCUCGUCGACAAUGACACUAUAACCGAGAAAUUUAAUAUGUAUAGAUCUACACGUAUUUAAAAUGUCUACUUCUCUGUACAGGAGCAAUGGCUAAUAUCCAGCUAUCCCAACAGUGCUCCUCUUGGCUAUACUAACGGACGAGACUGGACAGUUUGAGACACAGGACUGGAGUAUGACCUGCUCAUUCGAGCGUUGCUGGGUAGCUCAGAGACAUCAAGAGAAUCUACGUUUUCUCAAGUAAUGAGUUACGAGUUGGGGCCUAGAAUCAGAGAAGUCCAGCAGCCUGCUAAAUCUUUUUGAAACGUAAUUUGAAGGCAUUCAAUCAUCCUGAAGUUGCCCUGGGUCACUGUAAUUGUGCUGCAGCACAACUGGCAACUCCCCAGGCCUUUGUGAAGCAGCUCCCUAUGUGCAUCUUUUGUGUACUCACUCUGUGCAUUUUCUGUGUACAAAUUUCUAUUAUUGAUUUAUUAAA